CAUAGUUUAAAAAAAUAUCAGUUUUGUAGAUUAGAAAUGAAGACUAAAAUCUUCCAUAAACU
rnacentral:tRNA from 1 species